rnacentral:rRNA from 1 species
UACGUAGUGGGCAAGCGUUGUCCGGAUUUAUUGGGCGUAAAGAGCGUGUAGGCGGCCAGGUAGGUCUGCUGUGAAAACUCGAGGCUUAACCUCGAGCUGUCGGCGGAAACCAUCUGGCUAGAGUCCGGAAGAGGAGAAUGGAAUUCCCGGUGUAGCGGUGAAAUGCGCAGAUAUCGGGAAGAACACCCGUGGCGAAGGCGGUUCUCUGGGACGGUACUGACGCUGAGACGCGAAAGCGUGGGGAGCGAACAGG